UGACAUUUGGCACUCAGGCUUUACGUACUUAAAAUGUAUCCUCUCAAGUUGAAUCAUUGCCAGAGGACAUGAGACUAGUUAACGUAUCCAUUUUACAGAAAUAGAAACUGAGACUCAGAGCGGAGGCGACUAGUCUGUCGACACUCAGCUAAAGGAGCAGCUACAGCCUGGAUUCCAACUCCUGUCUGACCACAUCCAGAGUAUUUCCUUUGAUUUGUGGAACACUCGGGAUUCACGGGGUCCCACUGGGAGCCUGUGGAGGGUGCAAGGCCCAAUUUCUCAGGUGUGCUCAGGCAGAGAGAGAAGGCGACCUGAGAACUGCUCAGAGCAGCUCCCUGCGACUGCUGAGCCCCUGGCCGGUGGCACAGUUGGUCCAGCAGGGUGUCCACAGAAGGGAUGGAUCUUUCCCCAGGGAUCUUCUCACCCAGCAAGGGCAGCUCUGUGCUCUCCAUGGACAUUGUCCCUCUGCUGUGGGCUGGCAGCCAGCAGGCCUGGUAAGUCAUAUCAACUCUUAAGCCUCAGUUUCUCCAUUUGUCAAAAAAAAAGUUUCAGGGGGUGGUUGUGAGGUUUCGAAGCCAUUCAAUCCUAUGUGUCUGUAAUUGCUCUUCCAAUGCCCUGGGCACACACAAG
rnacentral:lncRNA from 1 species